rnacentral:lncRNA from 1 species
AGCUUAACCGUGAGCUUGCGCAGAUGAAGUUUCUAUACGGUAACAUCUUUGGACUCAUGUCCAACUACGCCGGAGCUAGUAGCAGUCACGAGAUGAUGACGGAGAUUGAGGAAGAAGAAUCGAGCCCCAGGCUGUUCGGCGUUUCUAUAGGUCUGAAACGGACGAGAAGCGAAGGAGUUCAUGUGAAGACGGUUUCUACGGCGGCGGAGGAGACGCCGUGGCUGAGACACUCUAAUAGAGCCAACCAGAGAGUCUGUAAUUAACGGUUCAGAUCAAUGUGUAUACGCUAGAGGAUUCAAACAGUCAGCACGUGUCCUAUAUGUUGCAACAAGUUUCAUCAAUCUUGACUUCUUCUCGAACAUUUUGUAAAUGGUUCUUUUCUGUUUUUUUUCUUCCUUUCAAUAGAUUUGUCUGUACUCUCCCUUUUUGACUUUUCUUUUUCUUUCUCAAAACCAUUAAAUUUUUGAUGCAACUGGAAUUUGAAACAAGUAGAUUGUAAUUCCAUAAUUAAUCCAGUCGACCAGUAUAACUUGUAAUUCUCACAGCUUAAGGGAUCCGUUCCUAUAUAAAUAGCACUCUUUUCAUUUUAAAAUGAUCUUUGUUUCAGGAAAAAAUAUUUUUGCCAUUUCUAUAAGAUAGUAAUAAUAAAUUUAAUUUAAAAUAGUUAAUUAUAUUUAUCGAAAUAAUUUGUCACAAUAUAGUAUAUUUUUCUAUCGAUACUAUUAAAACAUAAGGUCCUUUUUUGAGGUACUCUUUUGAUUUAACAAUAUUUACAGAUCCAUGCUAUUGAAUUAUUUUUAAGCUAUGAUUUUAAUUAUUGAUAAUAAUCUACCGUAACUUUAAUUCCAACGCAACGUUUCAUUCUUUUCCCUUCUACAUCAUUAAUUUAAGCCUUUCUGCAUCAUAUGUCAUCGCAUAAUUGUGAACAUUACUAUUCAUUUUAUAAUAAUUGUACUGAUUAUACUGAAGUCUGUCCAUCGAUUUUCAUUGCUUAUAAAGUGUAUGUUAUUGUUUUACAUAUUUAAUCUUACACCAUCUGGCACAUUCAACACUCACAAUUCAACAUUCCAUUGAUUUAGAAUUUACAUACUAUUAUAUACCAGCAUAGAGCUUAAUAUGUUCUACAUUCAAAAUUACUCCAAAUUAUGAGUUCGGAAUCCUGUAUGAACAGAAUCGUACUUAUAUAUUUGGAAGCUUCACAAUUUUUUUAUGUUUUGUAUGAAUAGAUCAUUUUCUUAUGCAAAACUUAAUAUUACAUCGUAACUUGGUUUAUGGUCUGUCAUCUGUAAGAUCAUAACUCAAUAACCUCUAAUUUACAAAACUCUAAACCCUAUAUCGUUUUUAUUAAUAUUUUCAGUAAUCAGUAUCUAUUAAAAAUAAAUUAUAAACCUACAAAUAUAGAUAACUACCAAGAUCUUUAAUAACAAUACAUAUUACACGGCAAAUCAAUUAUAUUUGCACAUCUGUUUUAAAAACUAUAAAAAAAAUAAAGAAGAAAUAAGUAGAUUUUUCGAAUAAUUAAAUAUAGAAUAUACUCUUUCGUAAAAUAUCCAGCCAAUGAUUACAGUUGAAAUAUCUGACACAUAUCAAUAAAAGAAAAUAGGAACUAUAAAAUCGGAAAUUUUAUCAUUAAUAUCGAAUAUACCACAUCAGAAAAACGAUAUAUUCUGUAACUUAAAUUAGCUUCAUUCCCGAGAUAUGUGAUCUAGCCAAUCAUUAUUGUUGAAAUUUUUUUAAAUAUCAAUAACAGUAAAUAUAAACCAUGAAGUUUUAUCAUCGAUAUCAAUAAAAUCAUAAAAUCUAAUUUUCUAUAACUUAAAUUAUAUUGAUUCGCAAGAUAUGUGAUUUUUAAAAAUAUAUUCAGUAACAGAAAAUAGAAACUCACGCUUUAACCCUUCUUAUAUAUACGCCGAAACCAUGUCUUACAAAACUCAAAGCAACGUUUUUUUUUUUUUUUUUUUUGUAACAACUCAUAGCAACGUUCUUUAGAAAAAAUAAAGCAUAGAAUGUCUUCCAAGCAAAAGACAGAACUUUCUUCAUGACUUUUCUGUUGGAGCAUGGAGGUUGCCAUAACAAUUAAUAGGCGGUGAUAUUCAGAGUGGCAUCUAGAAGUUUCUUCACUGCGUUUUUGUUGGAGAAUGGAGGUUGCCAUAACAAUUGACAGGCGGUGGAUAUUCAGAGUGACAUCUAGAAGAAGGUUUGAAAAUUUUGACGUUGACAAUAAAGACAAACCUCAGAAUCAAACUACUCCCUCAGUUUCAUAUUAAGUGUCGUUGUAGAAAAUUUUUUUUGUUACAAAAUAAGUAUCGUUUUCGAUUUUCAAUGCAAAAUUUAUUAAUUUUAUACAGUGAUUUAUUUUUCUAUUAGUUGAAAUAUGGUUAGGUGUAUAAGUAAUUGUGUUUUUAUAUAGGUAAUAUACAAAUUAACGGUUUUCUUAAUCUGUGUGCACAAGGUCAAAAUGACAUUUAAUAUGAAACAGAGAAAGUAAUUAGUAAUGUAGUUUUCAGAGAAAUUUCUCAGAAUCUCUAAUGUUGUUAUUUGGCUAUUGUUUUAAAUAAGUAUGAGUUAGGCUCUUUUCAAAAAAAAAUUGAGUUGAAUGUUUUUGCAAAAAAUUUAUAUAGUUCUUGGCUACUAAUACGAUUCAUCAAUCAAACUCCUAAAUUAUUAUAAUUUUUUUAGUUAUAACUUACUUUAUACUUGAUUGCAAGAGGUUUUGUCCGUUUGCAAACGUAAUGUUCAUUGCUUUCAUGCAUCCUACAGAACAUUUAAAACAAUUCCAUAAGAAUAAAGUAGUUUCUAAUAUGACUUUGUUCCGUUCUCUUGCUCAUAUAGCCAUUGCAGCCGUCUGUGGACAUUUCUGUAAGUAUGUAAAACCAUUACAAAUUAGAAACGAUCUUUAAAUUACUACAUCUAUACAAUAUAAUACAAUAUAAUACAAUAUAACAGAUCCAUAAGAAUAAACACAAUAUUAUAUCAACAAUCUGUAGCUCCAUUAUAUCAAAUACAAUACUAUAUUAGACUUCAUGAGGAUUAUCUUUGUAUUAUAAAAUCCCGUAAUGACUUUGCCCAAUGUUCUUCCUCAUAUAAACAUUGGAGUAGUUUAUGGCCAUUUUUAUUUAGCCCUAAAACUUAUCAGAAUUAGAAUCGUUCAUAAAACAACAUAUUAUACAAAGUAUUUAAUAGUAGACAAAAGAACCACUUGACUUAUUAUCUGAUUUUGCUAUAUUUUAACCAAUUUAUUAUUCCCUCAAUAUAAAGAUCCUACAGAACAUUUAAAACAUUUUCAUUAAACAAACAAAAUACUACAUAAACAAAAUCAGUUCAAGAAGAUCAAACACAAUGCUAUUAAAAUAUUAUUUGAGGCUUUAAAAUGUAGUUUUUCAAAGAGAUUGUGAGUUGUUUAUAAUUUUUUAAAAAAUAGUAUACUUACAAUUUCUAAUAUUCUUCAUGGUCAAGUUGAUGAUAUGUUUAACUGAAAAAACAAUUAAACCAUUAAUGGAGACAAUUAAUUUUGAAUCAGAUUAACCCACCGAAGAAUCAAAUACCAGAUCGUGUCAUACUCUUUUGUUAAUGGAGACAAUUAAUUUCGAAUCAGAUUAACCAAUCAAGGAAUCAAAUACCAGAUCGUGUGUCAAACUCUUCUAAUUCCUUGCAUUGUUCAUAAAAGAAAAAUUUCGGACGAAUAUCUGAACCGUUAAUAUUUUGUUACACCAUCGGAUAAGCUAACAUUUAAUAGCAUAUUUAAUAAAUAUAAUUUCAAAAACUGUUUUUGAUUUUUUGAAAUCAUUUUGGUAACCACAAAGGAUUUUGGACAUAUGGUUGUAGCCACAAAAUUUUCUAUUGUUUCUUACUGAUUUAACAGAUGUGAUAACAGAAAUUAUUUUGUAAAAUAAAUAUUCAGAUAAAUAUUUGUGUCAAAUUAAACUAAAUAGGAGUUCUUAAAAAAUCAAAUCGUAAUGAAAACAUUUUUAGAUUUCUCAGAUCUUUCCACUUAUUCUUAAAGUACGGGAAUAAACUCAUUUUGAAAUUGUAAGUUAUGGGAAUAUUGUACGACAUAACAAAAUCGAGCAUAUGUUCUAUAACUUUAUUACUUUAGAGUCCAAGUAUAUAUAAUCUAAUAUUACAUCAUCUAACAUAUGAAUAAAAUAAAUUUUAUUAUUUUUACAUGAAAGUUAAUUUUUAUGAUUCUCAACAUAAGAAAAAAACUAUUUCUCUAAAAUUAAGUCCCAAUUUUAUAAAAAAAAAGUAUUUUAACUCAACUACAAUAUGAGACAAGUGUUAAAUCUGCUAAUGUUAAACCAGUCAUUAUAGAUAUAAACAUAAUUCAUAUUGUGUUAUUUUGAAAAAACCAUAAUGCAUAUUGUAUUAUUAUAUUAUACGUUUUUUGAUGAUAACAUAAUGUUAAAUCAAUACUCAUAUAAUUUUAUUUAGACAAACAAAAGAACAAUAAAUAUAGUAAAUCAGUAUUAUUUUAAUUAAUUUUACUUUUUAAAAGUACAUAUUAAAAUUUGGGACAAGAUACCUAAUAUGAGACGUCUAAAUAAAUUAAAAUCGAUUAUAAACGUCAAAACUUGAAUAGAAAACUCAAACAAAAAAUUCAUACUAGUUUUGAAACCGAAAAACCCAAAAACUUAUCCCGCGCUUUUAAAGCGCGGGUCAAAAUCUAGUUUAUAAUUAAGAUUUAACACUUUUAGGAAAAAGAGAUGUUGACACAAAAAAGGAGACAAUAAAUUAUUAUGUUAACAAUUAUAAUAUCAAUACUAUUAAAAGAAAAGAAGUUUAAAUAAAUCUACUUACAAAGUUGUUUGGACCUUUUUUUUUUUUUGGUCUUCCUUAUAUAUUAUAUAUUAUUCCUAUUUAAUUUCAAUUUGUUAUCAGCAAAUUAAAUAUUAUUAAUUGGACCUUGGGCGUUUAACUUAAAAAAGAUAAUUUAACUGAUACAACUCAUUCAGAAAAGAAAAUUAUAAAUCUAAUUAACUUUUGUUACAGAAAAAAAUUAACCAAAUUAACUUUAGACCUUUUUUUACAAAAUUCCAAAUUAUAAAGACCAUUUUAUACAUAAAUACCUAUAAAUGUAACAUUAUUUAAAUUGUAUGGAUUUCUAAUAAUAAAAUAUCUGUCACAGACUAAUUUUUAUUUUAAAUUGAUAAUAGUUUGAUAGAAACUUAAAAAAGGAAAAAAAAUAAUACUUGCUUCACUAUUUUGGUAGAUUUAUAAUUAAUAUAUUUAUAAAUAAACUUAACAAUAUUUGUUAAAAGAAAUUUCUUAUACAAGUCAAAUAUAUAUUAAUAUAUCAAAAAUUUAUAAAACAAAAAACAAAUUAUAUUUUUUGAUGCAACUGGAAUUUGAAACAAGUAGAUUGUAAUUCGAUAAUUAAUCCAGUCGACCAGUAUAACUUGUAAUUCUCACAGCUUAAGGGAACCGUUCCUAUAUAAAUAGCACUCUUUUCAUUUUAAAAUGAUAUUUGUUUCAAAAAAAAAAUAUUUUUGCUAUUUUUAUAAGAUAGUAAUAAUAAAUUUAAUUUAAAAUCAUUAAUUAUAUUUAUAGAAAUAAUUAGUCACAAUAUGAUAUAUUUAUCUUUUUAUAAUUAAGAUUUAACACUUUUAAGAAAAAGAGAUGUUGACAAAAAAAAAGGAGAGAAUAAAUUAUUAUGUUAACAAUUGUAAUAUAUAAAUUGAAUUUGUUUACUUGUCAUCUUUUCUAUGAUUUUAAAUUUUUUUGCUUAUUUAUCAUGUUUUUUUUUAGUAUCUUUUAGUUGAGUCAUUAAUUCAAUAACUUAGAUAAUAUUAUUUUUAAAAAUUAAGUAUAGAUAAAAGUUAAGAUAUAAUAUAUACUAUAAAUCAAGACUAUCUAUAUUUUUUGAGUAAUAUUUUUUUAUUAAAACUAAAUAAUAGUAUAAAUAUAAUAUGUAAGUGAUAUUUAUCGUCUAUCUUACAUUAUAUGUGAAUACUAAAACAUAAAAGAUAGAAUUAUCUAAUAUUUUAUAUGUAUAAAUGAAAUUUUUAUAAUAUAUAUUUAUUCAUAUACACUAUUAUUUAUGACGUGAUUUUUUUCUAAAUUCUCAAAAUAAAAUUUAGAACGGUUAAAUUUGUUGAUAAUUGUAAUGAAUAAUUAGCUUAAUCGUUAGUUUAAUCAUAAAAUAAUUACAAUAAAAAUAAAAAUUAACCCAAAAAAAAACAUAUUAUAAAAAAUAGAUAAUUAGUGUAUAUCUCAAUGCUCCCAUUGAUGUAAUACUGUCUUACAUAUAUUUAAUGGCUGAUUUUACAAAUUUAUAUUAUCAGAAUAAACAUGUUGUCCUGUUUUUUAUUUUCAAUAUAUUCUCACAAACUUAAUUGUAAUUCUUUAUUUUUAUUAAGUUAAAAAAACAAAGAUAUGUAAUUAAAUAUUAGUGAAAAUAAAAAUUUGUAUAUAAUUCAUUAUAUAAUUAGAAAUUAAUCAUGUAUUAAUAAUAUUAGAUUUAUAAAUUAUAUUAGAUAAUUGAUUAUAAAUUAAUAUAAUAAAUUUUCAAAAAAUAAAACAUAUUUUGAAAACUAAUAUAAUUAUAUAUGUAUUGUGUUCUUAUCUGGAAAUAAUAUUUUUUAAAUUAAGAAGUAAACUUUUUUAUGAUUAAAUAUUAAUUAAGCAAAAAUAUUUGUGUAAAGAUAUUUUUACUAUGUGAGUGUUUUUAAAAAUCAAAAUAACAGUAAUUUUAUGUAUAUAUAUAUAUAUAUAUAUAUAUAUACUGAUGAUUUUUUUUUGUCAUAUAUUACUGUCUGGUUUUUAAAUUAUUAAAAUAUAACCUAAUAAGUAUACGUAAGAAAGUAUGUUCGUAUUUGCAAACUUUAAUUUAGAAAAGUUACUAACUUGAAUUUGUGAUAAUUUGUAAAAUACAUAUGCUUGUGAUAAAGAGCAUAAGUCAUAACUAAAAUUUUUUUUUUUUUGAUAUGAAAUUUUUUAUAGUCGAAAUAAAAUAAAUGGUAUUUUUUUUCCUCCAUUUUCCUCAUUCUUGUAAAUAUAUACAUCAAGAAUUUUUUUUGUUGAAUCAACAAAAAGUUGUGUAGUAAUUCUUGGAAUAUUAAUAAUACCUCCCGUAAUAACAAACUUGCAAAAUGGAUCCGUUUAUCAUAAAGAGAUUCGUUGUUCCUGACUCUGCUUCACAUUAAUUGUUAUUUGAACAAGUCAAAGUUCUGUCUUGGUCUGCGUGGGGAUAGCAUUUCUCUUCUGCAUGUUCGCCCCAUUUAUCUUCCUGAUGAGAAGUUUGGUUUCAAACCCCGGUUCGAACAGGAGGAGUACGCUAUGCUAAUGUGCCUUGGAUGAACCACAUCUCAGGGUCAGGCGCUGAUGAGCACAUUGAACUAUCCAUGUGGCUGAAAGCCCUCACAGUCCAGGCACAACAACGCAAUUAUCAGGGGCGCGCUCUACCACUGAGCUAAUAGCCCGUCGUGCGGACCUCCUGCUGGGGGCCUGCUAUGCCAAACCAAAAGCGAGAGAACCCCAUCCUUCUCUUUCCUUUUUACGCCCCCCUUAUUUACAUUAUAAAUAGUGCUCUCAGUUGGUUGCAUAAGAAUUAGCUGUCUUAGAUGUUUGAUUGUUACACAGAUGUCACUAAUAGGUGACUACAGUUAUAUAUGACUCGAGAUUAGUUUCAUCAAAACAAGAACAAACUAUUAAGUAUAAGCUGUUCUCAUUCUCUACACUUAUGAAUCAAAAGCUUUUAUUAUCUUUCUUCCUUUAUCUCUGUAACAAAAACAGUAAAACGGCACCAUUCUUGAAUCAUCUCUUUUAUAAGUAGUAAUGAUGGUAUGGAGUUGUUAGAUGGAGGUUGGUAUCGGUUCUUGUUAUAAGUACGUAGUUCUUUAAUCUCUUGCAGACUCUCUUUAAAAUCUUUUAUUGUUUAUAGAUUAAUCUCAGUGUACUUAAGCUUUAAAUUUUUUUUCCUUUACUCUAUCUACAUCUUCUCUACUCAUUUUGCUCUGGCAUUUGGUGUGUGUUUUAUGGUUUCAUUAAUGUAGCUAUCUAUUAUCGUUUUAGGACAUCGAUUUGGGUUUGGUUCACUAAAAUAUGAUGAUAUAAGCAAGACGCUGUAUAAAAUACAAGGUUUCAAAAGUGUGGCUAGAUCAGUUCCGGUUGUAACGGUAACGAUAACCCCAAAUCGAUUUGAGCUCUACCUUCGUCUGGUGAUGCUUUGAUAAAUCCUUAUCUUAAAAUCGUAAAACUCCGCGUGCCAUUUCUAUUCCAGUUGGCAAUUAAGUUUUUAAAAUAAGAAAACAGGAUAAAAAGCAAAUGGUCCACCACUAGUUGGGUCACAGAACAUGAUGGGAAUAAACACAUGCAGAAGAAGUUUCGUGAAGCAUAAUUAAAAACAAUAAGCAGCUUCUCGAUCUUUCUUCACCUUUAACUAUUGCUCAUUUAACUUUUUUUUUUUUUUUUUGUAACAUCUCAUUUUACUAUUUAUUCUUCUUCUUCGUGACUUCUAGAGACACAUUGUUUUUUAGUUUUCUUUAAUCAUCAUUGCUUUCUUACAACUAUUUUCACAAUCUAGUGAUGUCUCCGCCGAGCGAUAACAGUUAUACUACGAUGGCUACCAAUGAAUCUCAGAGAACUGCUCCGACGCCGUUUCUCACCAAAACUUUUAACCUCGUCGAAGACCCUUCUACCAACGACGUUAUAUCAUGGAACGAAGAUGGUUCCUCCUUCGUCGUAUGGAACCAAACAGACUUCGCUAAGGACUUGCUUCCGAAACACUUCAAACACAACAACUUCUCCAGUUUCGUCCGCCAGCUCAACACUUACGUAAGUCUUUAAUUUAUCUUCGGUUUCGUUUUUUUGACUAUAUGUGAUGUGUUCUUCGGUUCCCGGUUUAAUCCUGGUUUGGUUUGAUUUUUUUUUGCAGGGAUUCAAAAAAAUUGUACCGGACCGGUGGGAGUUCUCUAACGAGUUCUUUAAGAGAGGAGAGAAACGUCUCCUCCGGGAUAUCCAGCGUCGGAAACUAACAACUCAAGCAGCUGUUUCUCCGCCGCGGUCUCAAGUAGUUGUCGCGGCUCAGACGGCGAAAAUGGUUGUGUCCCCGUCUAGUUCAGGUGAAGAACAGGCCAUGUCUCCGUCGUCGUCGUCGACCGGAAACGGUGGUUUGUCUACCGAGCUGUUGGAGGAGAACGAGAGGCUUCGGAGUGAGAACAUCCAGCUUAGCCGUGAGCUUGCGCAGAUGAAGUCUCUCUACGGUAACAUCUUUGGACUCAUGUCCAACUACGCCGGAGCUAGUAGUAGCAGUCACGAGAUGAUGAUGGAUAUUGAGGAAGAAGCGAGCCCGAGGCUGUUUGGUGUUUCGAUAGGACUGAAACGGACCAGAAGUGAAGGAGUUCAUGUGAAGACGGUUUCUACGGCGGCGGAGGAGACGCCGUGGCUGAGGCACUAUAAU